rfam:Nematostella vectensis strain CH2 x CH6 NEMVEscaffold_126_Cont14371, whole genome shotgun sequence.
GUAGACUUGCUUCAGAAUAUUGGUACUGGGCAAAAGGUCACGUUUUGCACAUCACCAAUGUUCUGAGGCACUUCUGC